rnacentral:rRNA from 1 species
AGUGGGCUACACACGUCAUACAAUGGCUGGUACAAAGGGUUGCCAACCCGCAGGGGGAGCCAAUCCCAUAAAGCCAGUCGUAGUCCGGAUCGUAGUCUGCAACUCGACUACGUGAAGUCGGAAUCGCUAGUAAUCGUGGAUCAGAAUGUCACGGUGAAUACGUUCCCGGGUCUU